ensembl:lncRNA
GGACGAGUUGCAGAGGCCCCUGAAGGAAAAGGAGAAGGAAGGGCAUUUGCAGAGGGAAAGGCUGUCCCGCUGGCCUUAGGUGUUGCUGAACGGGAGGGGUGGCCAAUGCUUUCUCUUUCCGCUGACUCACGGAGGGUGGCAAAUGCCUUCUGGGGGUGGUUCCAGCAGUGGGAAGAAAACAACUGGCAGCGGAGGGGUGAACCUCUUUGGGCUGCUGAGCUGUGUGCUGAACCAUAAGGAAGGUGGCUGUAAUGGUGUGCCGUGCAGAUGUCGUGUGCCCAGCAGUCGGGCCGAUGAAGAGCAACAAAUGAAGCGCCAGAUGGCUUCUCGCCUCCUGCCUCUUUCCUUGCCAUGGCCUUGAGGCUUUUCCUCAGCUGGCUGGCUGAUCCGUCCCCGGCGGCUGCCCUUUCCUCCUGCCAGGCACACAUGCAGCAUACCCCAAUCCCGCUGCCAUUCAGGGUGAUGAUGGAGGGUGAAGAACAUGUCAGCGUGGGUGGCUUCCUCC